rnacentral:rRNA from 1 species
UACGGAGGGUGCAAGCGUUAUCCGGAUUCACUGGGUUUAAAGGGUGCGUAGGUGGGCCUGUAAGUCAGUGGUGAAAUCUCCGGGCUUAACUCGGAAACUGCCAUGGAUACUAUGUGUCUUGAAUGUUGUGGAGGUGAGCGGAAUAUGUCAUGUAGCGGUGAAAUGCUUAGAUAUGACAUAGAACACCAAUUGCGAAGGCAGCUCACUACACAAAUAUUGACGCUGAGGCACGAAAGCGUGGGGAUCAAACAGG